UACAGAGGGUGCGAGCGUUGUCCGGAAUCACUGGGCGUAAAGGGCGCGUAGGCGGUCCGGUAAGCGUGCGGUGAAAGCCCGGGGCUCAACCCCGGGUCGGCCGUGCGGACUGCGGGACUGGAGCCGAUCAGAGGCAGGCGGAAUUCCGGGUGUAGCGGUGGAAUGCGUAGAGAUCCGGAAGAACACCGGUGGCGAAGGCGGCCUGCUGGGGUCUUGGCUGACGCUGAGGCGCGACAGCGUGGGGAGCGAACGGG
rnacentral:rRNA from 1 species